rnacentral:lncRNA from 1 species
CAAUGCCACGCCAUAAUUAUCACAAAGUGGCGCCUCUGGUGAGGUCACUGUGUGCCAAGCACGGAUUGCACUAUGUGAAUAAACCCAUGUUGAGGGCAUUUGGAGAUAUUGUCAGAGCCUUGAAGAAAUCUGCUGCCCUCUGGGCGGAUGCUUACUAUGAAACAUGAUGCCGAAUGUCAGCCUUGACACACAUGUAAUUGCAUCUCUGAUGAGGGUUGGUGCAUGUGCAGGAGCUCUUCCCUGCUUAACUGGGAAUUAGUUAUCACCACUGGUAUACCUGACUGUGCUGUUCUAGGAAUAUGAAUCCCAAGCACAUGUGAUAACCCCUUCUCUGAAAGUCUUCUCUGCAAAUAAGAACCUAGGAAACACAAGAUGACAUUGACCAGGGUGACAAAAGGGAAAUGGAGCCCAAUAUUUUUGUUUUUUCAUUAGUACCUUAAACUCAGUCCUCCCAAUAGACUUUAGUCAGAUCAUCUCAGUCAAGGGCCAGAAGUACAAGAACCAGGCAAAAGUUUUAUGGAUGAAGUGGACAUAGGGAGAAGUCAGCCAAAAGAGAGCCAUCUAACAGGGUACUUUGGAAAUUAGUGCAAUUGCUCUUAGAAAAGAAUCAUAUGUUUAAGAAUUUCCUGUUGAAGCACAAACGCUUUUUACUUAUUUCUUUUCAGAUGUGUGAACUUCUUUUUCUUUAAAAAACUGAGUAUAAUUAACAAUAAAAUUUCUUAAAAUAUUUCAAAA